rnacentral:rRNA from 1 species
UACAGAGGGUGCGAGCGUUAAUCGGAAUUAUUGGGCGUAAAGCGCACGCAAGCGGUUGGACAAGUCCGGCGUGAAAUCUCCCAGCUUAACUGGGAGCGGUCGCGGGAAACUGUUCGACUUGAGGCGAUGAGAGGGGUGCAGAAUUCCCGGUGUAGUGGUGGAAUGCGUAGAGAUCGGGAAGAACAUCGGUGGCGAAGGCGGCCUGCUGGGCUGUUGCUGACGCUGAGGCGCGACAGCGUGGGGAGCAAACAGG